UACGUAGGGGCAAGCGUUGUCCGGAAUCAUUGGGCGUAAAGCGCGUGUAGGCGGCCCGAUAAGUCCGCUGUGAAAGUCCAGGGCUCAACCCUGGGAUGCCGGUGGAUACUGUCGGGCUCGAGUCCGGAAGAGGAGUGUGGAAUUCCGUGGUGUAGCGGUGAAAUGCGCAGAUAUCAGGAGGAACACCAAUGGCGAAGGCAGCACUCUGGGACGUGACUGACGCUGAGACGCGAAAGCGUGGGGAGCAAACAGG
rnacentral:rRNA from 1 species